rnacentral:rRNA from 1 species
AGUGAACGCUGGCGGUAGGCCUAACACAUGCAAGUCGAACGGCAGCACAGUAAGAGCUUGCUCUUACGGGUGGCGAGUGGCGGACGGGUGAGGAAUACAUCGGAAUCUACUUUUUCGUGGGGGAUAACGUAGGGAAACUUACGCUAAUACCGCAUACGACCUACGGGUGAAAGCAGGGGAUCUUCGGACCUUGCGCGAAUGAAUGAGCCGAUGUCGGAUUAGCUAGUUGGCGGGGUAAAGGCCCACCAAGGCGACGAUCCGUAGCUGGUCUGAGAGGAUGAUCAGCCACACUGGAACUGAGACAAGGUCCAGACUCCUACGGGAGGCAGCAGUGGGGAAUAUUGGACAAUGGGCGCAAGCCUGAUCCAGCCAUACCGCGUGGGUGAAGAAGGCCUUCGGGUUGUAAAGCCCUUUUGUUGGGAAAGAAAAGCAGCAGGUUAAUACCCCGCUGUUCUGACGGUACCCAAAGAAUAAGCACCGGCUAACUUCGUG